UUACGCUGUUAUCCCUAAGGUAAUUAUUUUAAAAUAUCUAAAUUUUAGGUUUAUUUAUUCAUAGAUAAAUGUUUUUUUAUUUAAAAGUUUUUUUAAUUUUAAAAUUACCCCAAUUAAAUUAAUCACUUUAUUUAAUUUUAUAUUAUAAAAAUAUUAAUAAUUUAAUUAAUUAAAUUCUAAAGGGUCUUCUCGUCUUUUAAUUAUAUUUAAGAAUUUUAACUUAAAAUUUAAUUUUAAUUUUUUUUUUAAUUUAUAUAGAUUAUAUUUCAUUAAAUCUUUCAUUCUAGUUUUCAAUUAAAAAACUAAUUAUUAUGCUACCUUUGUACAGUUAUUUAUACUGCAGCCAUUAAAUAUUAUCAUUGGGCAGAUUUUACUAAAAAUUAUUAUCAGUAAGACAUGUUUUUGUUAAACAGGCG
rnacentral:rRNA from 2 species